UAUCCUGAUAUUCUGACAUUGCUGAAAUUAUGUCGACAUUUGUGUACAUUUACAUCAUCAUUGUCCUAAUAAAGAGAUACUCUGCUGACGAAAUUACGAGGAAUGUUUGCUUUAAGACAGCAUCUGAGCUUGUGAAAAAUCUGAAUAAGUGUCGAUUUUCCCUAAAAUCUGUUGUGGAUUUAAUGCAAGAUAGAGGUACCACCUGUCGUAGUAAAUGCGAUGUUCGGAUGAAUAAUAUCGAGAGUCGCAUGAUUCCCUGGAAGGCGUUGUUUUUACGAUCGGCGGCAUUUCAUACAAAUCUGAAGCUUGUAUGGGGUCGAGAAACAACGGAAUAUAUCUUAUCAUCAACUGCUCAUCAUCAAAAGAUGAUGGAUUCGAGGUUUGGCAUACACAAGACUGCAGAAAAAAGGAUGCACAAUGUAUCCAAUUGAAUAGUGCUUGCAUUUGUCAAUGCUUGUCUGGAUACUCGAAGGUGAAAGGCAUCUGUUCAAUAAAUGUGCCAAUAAGCAACCAAACUAGGGAUAAUGUAGAAAAUUAGGAGAGAAAUUUAACUGUCAUUGGGGAAAAUGCGACACAUUCUGGCAGAAAGACUGCAGAGUAUGUCACAACUGUCUCUAAUGCCAUAAAGACAAGUUUUGAUGAACAUCAACAAGGUAAAUCGUUUAAGAAAUGCAUUAUGUUGUGCCCUGUGUUUAAAAACUAAAAUUUCAACUUUAAUCGCGACGACGUUACUUCUACGUUUGCUAGUAGCAAACUAGCUUUCUAUGCCAAGUAUAUGCUGAUCAUUUGAAACAAAUAAAAACACAAAAAAAAAAUUGGCAACUUUUUUUUAGCGGCGAAGUAGAUUGCAGAAAACUAUAAGAAGAAUUAAAGCAAUGAAAAAGUCAUUACAAAUGCUUUAGAGGGUCAGAAUAAUUUCCGUGUACUAUUAUGUUGGACGUUUGUUAAUUGUAGCAGGUGUUUAUUAGGAUACAGCAUUAAAAUUCUCCAGGAAUUUGUUGGUGGUUAUUAAAACAGUUAUCCUUGCAAAGUUUGCAAUAACAUCAUGAUGUGUAAACCUAUCCAUAACUGUUUAUGCAAUUCAUUAUAUUUGUUUAAAUAUCA
rnacentral:misc_RNA from 1 species